rnacentral:sRNA from 1 species
ACCCGCGGGGCGAGGGCCUGCCACGGGGGACGAUCCCGGGGCCGGGGAGCUGGGGAAGGGCGGCCUCUCCCGCCAUGGAGACACCGGCCGGUUUUCCGCCGCUCUCCACCCUCCCUAGCUGGGGCUAGGAUUUUCCCCUCCAGCAAGAGCCUAAAGCUCCUUCAUGCCCGAGGAGGCUGGGGCCGGGAGAAUGUAAUGGACAUCGGUCUGACCAACGAGAAGCCCAACCCGGAACUCUCUUACUCCGGCUCCUUCCAGCCAGCCCCCGGCAACAAGACCGUGACCUACUUGGGAAAGUUCGCCUUCGACUCCCCUUCCAACUGGUGCCAGGACAACAUCAUUAGCCUCAUGAGCGCCGGCAUCUUGGGGGUGCCCCCGGCUUCAGGGGCGCUCAGCACGCAGACGUCCACGGCCAGCAUGGUGCAGCCACCGCAGGGUGACGUGGAGGCCAUGUAUCCCGCGCUACCCCCCUACUCCAACUGCGGCGACCUCUACUCAGAGCCCG